rnacentral:rRNA from 1 species
AAAUUGAAGAGUUUGAUCAUGGCUCAGAUUGAACGCUGGCGGCAGGCCUAACACAUGCAAGUCGAACGGUAACAGGAAGCAGCUUGCUGCUUUGCUGACGAGUGGCGGACGGGUGAGUAAUGUCUGGGAAACUGCCUGAUGGAGGGGGAUAACUACUGGAAACGGUAGCUAAUACCGCAUAACGUCGCAAGACCAAAGAGGGGGACCUUCGGGCCUCUUGCCAUCGGAUGUGCCCAGAUGGGAUUAGCUAGUAGGUGGGGUAACGGCUCACCUAGGCGACGAUCCCUAGCUGGUCUGAGAGGAUGACCAGCCACACUGGAACUGAGACACGGUCCAGACUCCUACGGGAGGCAGCAGUGGGGAAUAUUGCACAAU